rnacentral:lncRNA from 1 species
UAAGCCGGUUGUUCCUGGUAUUGCGCACUUAUACUUGGGAGAUAAAGCCAAACAUGAUGAAAUAGCUGCACAGUGGACACUGAGAUUUGCAAGGUGAAAGAAGAACUUGAUGUGGAACUUUUUUAACGAGUUCAGGUCAGCCAUUGCUUAGUUUGAAGUUUAACAAGCAUAGAAGAGCUGUUGUAGACGAUAUUUAAACUUACAACCUGUAUAUAAUUCAUAUAAAUAAAUUCAACUUCUGUUAAACUAACUUUACAAAUUUCACAUUUAGACCUGUUGCUUUAUUUGUUUGUUGAAUAGUUCUUUCCUUCAUUUACACGUCCUUGAGGCUGAACCAAUAAAACAGAAUGAAACUGGAGGACAGGUUUUACCCUAAAAUUCGAUUAAUCUUGCAUCAUGUGAAGUUUUUUUUUUUUUUUUUUGGUUCUUACCUGUAUAUAAUUCAUAUAAAUAAAUUCAACUUCUGUUAAACUAACUUUACAAAUUUCACAUUUAGACCUGUUGCUUUAUUUGUUUGUUGAAUAGUUCUUUCCUUCAUUUACACGUCCUUGAGGCUGAACCAAUAAAACAGAAUGAAACUGGAGGACAGGUUUUACCCUAAAAUUCGAUUAAUCUUGCAUCAUGUGAAGUUUUUUUUUUUUUUUUUUGGAUCUUUUAUUGAAAGCAAGUAGAACUAGUCAGAGUCAUUACAAAGAGGAACUGAACGCCAUGUUAGAACAUGACGUUGUGCCCGUUAGUUGUAGUUGCAUCACAGUUCCUCCCAAAGCUUGCUAAGGGAUUCCACCACAACAUUGUCAUCUCGAUAAACAUGGCGAACUUCAGUAGGCCCAUUGCACCCAGGUUGAACCUGCAGUUAAUUCCAUACUUUGUAUGUUGUGUAUUCAUUGUUUUUUUGUUUCUUGAACUCCAUGUUUAACAUCUAAUGUUAUGAUGUAGAUAGAGGAAGAAAGAGAAUUUCCCACCCUCUUUUUCUGGUUAUAUUAUUUUAAGAAAAAGUCAACCUUAUACUUAGUAGGAUGCCAUUACUUGGGGGUAUCCUUCCUUUUUAGUGGGUGGCCAUGAAGGCUCUUAGUACUGACCUAGUCUUUAUUUGAACUUUGCUAUCAUCUUAGUGGCUAACCAUGAAGCAAAUACAUAAAUGUUAAGAAGGAUGUCACAAUUGGACUAUAAAAACCAGAGAUCCUAACUCCACCAUGCAACACAAGUCUUAGUUCUAUCCUUUCUUUUCUCUCCAAGAAUCACAAUGAGAAGCUUUUGGAAUUUGGGGAAAUUGCCUCUACUAGCAUUUGCUUUGGCAAUUUGCUUUGUAGCCAGCACUGUUGUUGCUGAUUACUCUUAUGGCUAUACUUCUCCCUCACCUUCUUACACCUCUAAGAAGUACUACAAAUCACCAUCUCCAUCCAACUAUCAUGAACCAACUCCAUACUACAAGAAACCGGAGAAACAUGCUGAACAUUCUCCAUCACACUAUUACAAGUCACCGGUGCCUUCCAAGCACGACUAUUACAAGUCCCCUACUCCUUCAAAGCAUUACUACAAAUCACCAGUAGUAGUGAAGUAUUACAAAUCACCAGUUCCUUCAAAGAAGUACUACUACAAGGCACCUUCCCAUUCAAACAAGUACUACAAGGCCCCUGCUCCUUCAAAGAAGUACUACAAGUCCCUUGCCCCUUCAAAGAACUAUUACAAGUCACCAUCUCCUGCAAAGUACUACAAAUCUCCUUCACCUGCAAAAUACUACAAGUCACCUGCUCCAUCAAAUCACUAUUAUUAUAAGUCACCAUCCCCUACAAAAUACUACAAAUCUCCAUCGCCUGCAAAAUACUACAAGUGGCCUUCACCAUCAAAUCACUAUUACUACAAGUCACCAUCUCCAACAAAAUAUUACAAGUCACCCGCUCCUUCUAAAUACUAUAAAUCUACCCCUUACUACAAGUCCCCUCCACCUCCCCCAUACUACAAAGAAUCUACCCCUUACUACAAGUCCCCUCCACCUCCCCCAUACUACAAAGAAUCUACCCCUUACUACAAGUCCCCUCCACCUCCCCCAUACUACAAAGAAUCUACCCCUUACUACAAGUCCCCUCCACCUCCCCCAUACUACAAAGAAUCUACCCCUUACUACAAGUCCCCUCCACCUCCCCCAUACUACAAAGAAUCUACCCCUUACUACAAGUCCCCUCCACCUCCCCCAUACUACAAAGAAUCUACCCCUUACUACAAGUCCCCUCCACCUCCCCCAUACUACAAAGAAUCUACCCCUUACUACAAGUCCCCUCCACCUCCCCCAUACUACAAAGAAUCUACCCCUUACUACAAGUCCCCUCCACCUCCCCCAUACUACAAAGAAUCUACCCCUUACUACAAGUCCCCUCCACCUCCCCCAUACUACAAAGAAUCUACCCCUUACUACAAGUCCCCUCCACCUCCCCCAUACUACAAAGAAUCUACCCCUUACUACAAGUCCCCUCCACCUCCCCCAUACUACAAAGAAUCUACCCCUUACUACAAGUCCCCUCCACCUCCCCCAUACUACAAAGAAUCUACCCCUUACUACAAGUCCCCUCCACCUCCCCCAUACUACAAAGAAUCUACCCCUUACUACAAGUCCCCUCCACCUCCCCCAUACUACAAAGAAUCUACCCCUUACUACAAGUCCCCUCCACCUCCCCCAUACUACAAAGAAUCUACCCCUUACUACAAGUCCCCUCCACCUCCCCCAUACUACAAAGAAUCUACCCCUUACUACAAGUCCCCUCCACCUCCCCCAUACUACAAAGAAUCUACCCCUUACUACAAGUCCCCUCCACCUCCCCCAUACUACAAAGAAUCUACCCCUUACUACAAGUCCCCUCCACCUCCCCCAUACUACAAAGAAUCUACCCCUUACUACAAGUCCCCUCCACCUCCCCCAUACUACAAAGAAUCUACCCCUUACUACAAGUCCCCUCCACCUCCCCCAUACUACAAAGAAUCUACCCCUUACUACAAGUCCCCUCCACCUCCCCCAUACUACAAAGAAUCUACCCCUUACUACAAGUCCCCUCCACCUCCCCCAUACUACAAAGAAUCUACCCCUUACUACAAGUCCCCUCCACCUCCCCCAUACUACAAAGAAUCUACCCCUUACUACAAGUCCCCUCCACCUCCCCCAUACUACAAAGAAUCUACCCCUUACUACAAGUCCCCUCCACCUCCCCCAUACUACAAAGAAUCUACCCCUUACUACAAGUCCCCUCCACCUCCCCCAUACUACAAAGAAUCUACCCCUUACUACAAGUCCCCUCCACCUCCCCCAUACUACAAAGAAUCUACCCCUUACUACAAGUCCCCUCCACCUCCCCCAUACUACAAAGAAUCUACCCCUUACUACAAGUCCCCUCCACCUCCCCCAUACUACAAAGAAUCUACCCCUUACUACAAGUCCCCUCCACCUCCCCCAUACUACAAAGAAUCUACCCCUUACUACAAGUCCCCUCCACCUCCCCCAUACUACAAAGAAUCUACCCCUUACUACAAGUCCCCUCCACCUCCCCCAUACUACAAAGAAUCUACCCCUUACUACAAGUCCCCUCCACCUCCCCCAUACUACAAAGAAUCUACCCCUUACUACAAGUCCCCUCCACCUCCCCCAUACUACAAAGAAUCUACCCCUUACUACAAGUCCCCUCCACCUCCCCCAUACUACAAAGAAUCUACCCCUUACUACAAGUCCCCUCCACCUCCCCCAUACUACAAAGAAUCUACCCCUUACUACAAGUCCCCUCCACCUCCCCCAUACUACAAAGAAUCUACCCCUUACUACAAGUCCCCUCCACCUCCCCCAUACUACAAAGAAUCUACCCCUUACUACAAGUCCCCUCCACCUCCCCCAUACUACAAAGAAUCUACCCCUUACUACAAGUCCCCUCCACCUCCCCCAUACUACAAAGAAUCUACCCCUUACUACAAGUCCCCUCCACCUCCCCCAUACUACAAAGAAUCUACCCCUUACUACAAGUCCCCUCCACCUCCCCCAUACUACAAAGAAUCUACCCCUUACUACAAGUCCCCUCCACCUCCCCCAUACUACAAAGAAUCUACCCCUUACUACAAGUCCCCUCCACCAUACUGAUAUCAAUCCGACUUAAGUAGGAAAACAUAUUUGAGGCUGAACCAAUAAAGCAGAAUGAAACUGAAGGACAGGUUCUACCCUAAAAUUCAAUUAAUCUUGCAUCAUGUGAUGUUCUCAUUGUUUUGGAUCUUUUAUUGAAAGCAAGUAGAACUAGUUGGAGUCAUUACAAAGAGGAACUGAAUGCCAUGGUAGAACAUGACGUUGUGCCCGUUAGUUGUAGUUGCAUCACAGUUCCUCCCAUCGCUAAGGGAUUCCACCACAAAAUUGACUUCUUGAUAGACAUGGCGAACUUCCGGUAGGCCCAUUGCUCCCAGGUUGAACCUGCAAUUAAAUCCAUACAUUGUAUGUGUAUUCACUGUUUUUUCUUGAACUCCAUGUUUAACAUCUAAUGUUAUGGUGUAGAUAGAGGAAGAAAGAGAAUUUCCCACCCUCUUUUUCUGGUUAUUUUAUUUUAAGAAAAAGUCAACCUUAUACUUAGUAGGAUGCCAUAACUUAGGAAUAUCCUGCCUUUUUAGUGGGUAACCAUGAAGGCUCUUAGUACUAACCUAGUCUUUAUUUGAUCUUUGCUAUCAUCUUAGUGGUUAACCAUGAAGCAAAUACAAAAAUGUUAAGAAGGAUGUCACAAUUGCAGUAUAAAAACCAGAGAUCCUAACUCAACUAUGCAACACAAGUCUUAGUUCUAUCCUUUCUUUUCUCUCCAAGAAGCACAAUGAGAAGCUUUUGGAAUUUGGGGAAAUUGCCUCUACUAGCAUUUGCUUUGGCAAUUUGCUUUGUAGCCAGCACUGUUGUUGCUGAUUACUCUUAUGGCUAUACUUCUCCCUCACCUUCUUACACCGCUAAGAAGUACUACAAAUCACCAUCUCCAUCCAACUAUCACGAACCAACUCCAUACUACAAGAAACCGGAAAAACAUGCUGAAUAUUCUCCGUCACACUAUUACAAGUCACCGGUGCCUUCCAAGCACGACUAUUACAAGUCCCCUACUCCUUCAAAGCAUUACUACAAAUCACCAGUAGUAGUGAAGUAUUACAAAUCACCAGUUCCUUCAAAGAAGUACUACUACAAGGCACCUUCCCAUUCAAACAAGUACUACAAGGCCCCUGCUCCUUCAAAGAAGUACUACAAGUCCCCUGCCCCUUCAAAGAACUAUUACAAGUCACCAUCUCCUGCAAAGUACUACAAAUCUCCUUCACCUGCAAAAUACUACAAGUCACCUGCUCCAUCAAAUCACUAUUAUUAUAAGUCACCAUCCCCUACAAAAUACUACAAAUCUCCAUCGCCUGCAAAAUACUACAAGUGGCCUUCACCAUCAAAUCACUAUUACUACAAGUCACCAUCUCCAACAAAAUAUUACAAGUCACCCGCUCCUUCUAAAUACUAUAAAUCUACCCCUUACUACAAGUCCCCUCCACCUCCCCCAUACUACAAAGAAUCUACCCCUUACUACAAGUCCCCUCCACCUCCCCCAUACUACAAAGAAUCUACCCCUUACUACAAGUCCCCUCCCCCUCCACCAUACUACAAAGAGUCUACCCCUUACUACAAGUCUCCUCCACCUCCCCCAUACUACAAAGAAUCUACCCCUUACUACAAGUCCCCUCCACCUCCCCCAUACUACAAAGAAUCUACCCCUUACUACAAGUCCCCUCCACCUCCCCCAUACUACAAAGAAUCUACCCCUUACUACAAGUCCCCUCCACCUCCCCCAUACUACAAAGAAUCUACCCCUUACUACAAGUCCCCUCCACCUCCCCCAUACUACAAAGAAUCUACCCCUUACUACAAGUCCCCUCCACCUCCCCCAUACUACAAAGAAUCUACCCCUUACUACAAGUCCCCUCCACCUCCCCCAUACUACAAAGAAUCUACCCCUUACUACAAGUCCCCUCCACCUCCCCCAUACUACAAAGAAUCUACCCCUUACUACAAGUCCCCUCCACCUCCCCCAUACUACAAAGAAUCUACCCCUUACUACAAGUCCCCUCCACCUCCCCCAUACUACAAAGAAUCUACUCCUUCCUAUAAAUCACCUCCACCUCCACCAUACUACAAAGAAUCUACUCCUUCCUAUAAAUCCCCUCCCCCUCCCCCCCACCACACCCUCCCCCUCCACCAUACUACAAAGAAUCUACUCCUUCCUAUAAAUCCCCUCCCCCUCCACCAUACUACAAAGAAUCUACUCCUUCCUAUAAAUCCCCUCCCCCUCCACCAUACUACAAAGAAUCUACACCUUCCUAUAAAUCUCCUCCACCCCCAUCAACCUACUAUUAAAAUAGUUACUAAUUCUAUCAUUUCCACCAUUUCCAUGAAUUCUAACUCCUACUUUGAGUAUCUCUAUUUCCUCAGCCAAAAUUUUAUGUAUUCUUCAAGAAGGUUUUGCUUGUUUUGUGUGUUCCUUUCUUUUAAUAAUUUGUAAUAUGCAUUGUUUGAGAUCCUCAAGAUCUCCGUCAGUUUGGUUCAUUGUAUCAAGAUUCUUUUUGAUGUAAUCUCUUGAGAGUUCCACUUUGUGUAAUACUAUCUUCUUCUUUAUCAAAUAUUGUGUUCUCUUAUUGGUUGAGUUCUUGACUUCUUUCAUUGUUCCAUAAGCAUUCACCUUAUGGACAUCUAUGCUAAACUCUUAUAUGAAGAGAAACCACAUCUGAGUAUAGUUUGGUAACUGUACUCAUUAACUUUUGAGAAAGCAAAAUUAUGUACAAUAAACAGAAUAAGAAAGAAAUAAAGAUGCAUUUAAACUAAGAAAAUGCAUCAUUUCGACAAUUCUUUUCUAAGAUAGAGAAGAGGAAAAGGCGACGUAGUCAAGGUUUAUCGACAUUUUUCUCUUUAAAGAUUACUCUUUUCAUUAUUGAUUUUUCCUUCUGCGAAGAUGUAACCAAGUUUCAGAUUUGUUAGAAAAGUAUUCUUAGUCUUAUAGGUUAAAUUAAAAACUAUAUGUGCAACUCCAACAUUAUUGCCUCCAUUAAGUUACUAAUAAAUUAACAAACAAUUCGUACGGAAAUGGGAUCCCAAUAUCAAGAGACAAAAGAUUCUUAUGAGAAAACACAAUUAAACGAGCCUCUACUUGAACCUCCAAGGAUAAAGGUACAUGAACAACCAUUUGAUCUCCAUAAAAAUCGGUAUAGAAUCCCUUGAAAACUAAUGGAUGUAAACAAAUAGCGUCCCUCCACUAAAACAGGCUGGAAUGCCUGUAUGCCUAAUCUAUGCAGAUUGGAUGCUCUAUUCAGCAAUAUAGGAUGUCCCUGCGUAACUUCUUGAUCAGUAAAAAAGAAUAAUCUUCUUAUGUAGUUAUUUUUUUUGAUAAAGGUAACUUUAUAUUCAUGUCAAAACUCAUCAGCAGAGCAUGAUGAGGUGGGAUUUGUAAUCUUCUUAUGUAGUUAUUCAUAAGUUGUUAUCCCCUUACAUCUAACUAUUAAAUAAAUAAGUUUCAUACCCCAAGAACACGAAAAGAAAUAUACUGAUAUCAAUCCGACUUAAGUAGGAAAACAUAUUUGACGAGGAGAAUGUAGAGUCUGAAUAAUGAAGACUUGGGAAAAAUUAAGACAUCAAGAUUUUUCCGAUAGAAGUUCUGGAAACCUCAGUGUAGUUGGCGUUGUUAAUGGAGAAUAUGUGACAUUUGACUCUAAUUUUCUUAGUUGCAAUUUUCUCAAUCUUUAUUCUGUGUUCUGUCAUUUGUAAAGGGGGAUUUAAAGAGUGAAGGUUUAUAUAAAGACAUUUUGGGGUUCAUAAGACUAGUUACAUACUAUUGCACAUGAACUAUUGGGAUGAGCUUGUGCAUUGAACAUUGGGAUCAUCUCAGGUGUACUUCUGGACACUUGAGGUGUAAGUAUCGCGAGACUACUAUCUCUACGUCUGUCCCAAAGUAUCUCAUCUCUAUAUGAGUCCCUGACGAGUCUCGAGUCUGCCUUCCAUCCGUGAUCCUCAGACCAAAAUGUUAUAUAAGGUGUAAUCUGGUAUGAUUAUCCACUGUUCAAUAGUAAAGUCAACUUGUAGAUUCUUCUUCUGGAAUUGCUAUUCUUUUACUUUGCCAAUGGGAUGACAGUUGUGGCAUUCCUCUUCUUAUUUUUCUUUUUUUGUUCCUAAAUUAUUUCUUCAUCAUGAAAUUUUUUUCUAAAAGAAAGAAGUCAUGGAUAAAUGCUUCCCACUAAGUACUGACUUAGUCUUUAUUUUGACUUAGGCAUCAUCUUAGUGGCUAACCAUGAAGCCAUUACAUGACUGUUAAGAAGACUAUCAAUUUGUAGUAUAAAUCUAGAGGUUCCUACUCAACUAUGCAACACAAGUCUUAGUUCUAUCCUCCUCUUCUCCAAGUUUAGUUGGUUGAAAAAGCAAAUGAGAAGCUUUGGAAAUUUGGGGCAAUGGCCUCUACUUGCAUUUGCUUUGGCAAUUUGCUUUGUAGCCAGCACUGUUGUUGCUGACUACUCUUAUGACUAUACUUCUCAUUCACCUUCUUACAAUUCUAAGAAAGACUACAAAUCACCUUCUCCAUACUACAAGAAACCGGAAAAACAUGUUGAACAUUCUCCAUCGCAUUACUAUUACAAGUCGCAUGCUCCUUCAAAACACUACUAUAAGGCACCUGUUAUUGCGAAGUAUUACCAGUCACAUGCUCCUUCAAAGCACUACUACAAGGCACCUAUUGUUACGAAGUAUUACAAGUCACACGCUCCUUCAAAGCACUACUACAAGGCACCUGUUGUUACGAAGUAUUACAAGUCACCUGCUCCUUCGAAACACUACUACAAGGCUCCAGUGGUAGUGAAGUAUUACAAGUCACCAGCUCCUUCAAAGAAUUACUACAAGGCACCUGUCCCUUCAAAGGAGUACUACAAGUCGCCAGCUCCUUCAAAGUACUACUACAAGUCGCCAUCACCUGCAAAGUACUACAAGUCGCCUGCUCCAUCAAAGCACUAUUACUACAAGUCCCCAUCCCCUUCAAAAUAUUACAACUCACCCGCUCCUUCCAAAUACUAUAAAUCACCUGCACCACAAAAAUAUUACAAGUCACCAGUUUACUACAAGUCUCCUCCCCCACCACCAACUUAUUAUGAGAAAUCACCUUCUUACUACAAGUCCCCUCCCCCUCCACCAUACUACAAAGAAUCUACCCCUUACUACAAGUCCCCUCCUCCUCCCCCAUACUACAAAGAAUCUACUCCUUACUACAAGUCCCCUCCACCUCCCCCAUACUACAAAGAAUCUACUCCUUACUACAAGUCCCCUCCACCUCCCCCAUACUACAAAGAAUCUACUCCUUACUACAAGUCCCCUCCACCUCCCCCAUACUACAAAGAAUCUACCCCUUCUUAUAAAUCUCCUCCCCCUCCACCAUACUAUGAAGAAUCUACGCCUUCUUAUAAAUCCCCUCCACCUCCACCAUAUUACAAAGAAUCUACACCUUCCUAUAAAUCUCCUCCACCCCCACCAAAGUACUAUGAGCAAUCUCCUACAACCUAUAACUCACCACCUCCACCACCACCAGCCUAUUACAAGCAAACUCCCACCUAUGCCUCACCUCCACCACCUCAGAAGUACGAGCAAUCUGUCACCUAUGCUUCACCUCCACCCCCGCCAGCUUCUCCCCCACCGACGUACUACUAAACAUUCAAUAACUCUAUCAUUUCCAUGACUUCUACAUCCUAUUUUGAUUUCAUUCCCUCUUCCAAAAUUUAAUGUAUGCUUGUCAAAAUGAUCAGCUUUGCUUACUGUAUGUUCAAUAUUGUUUUGUUCUAAUGAUUUGUAUUUUGUUUUAUGUCUUCAUUAGUUUUUCUCAUUGUAUCAAGAUCAAUAGUUUGUUACCUAUCUUCUCUUCUUUGUGUAAUAUUCUGUGGUUUUAAUCGACUUAAUUCUUUCAAGUAUAGUAUACCUCCAUAACAUAUAUUUGAUGAUACAGAAAGAUACAAAAGGUUAGUUGGGAAACUAAACUACCUUACAGUGACCCGUCUGAUAUUGGCUAUGCAGUUAGUAUUGUCAGUCAGUUCAUGUCUGCACGAACAGUUAACAUUGGGUAGUCUUGGAACAGAUCUUGUGUUGUUUGAAAGGAGCCGAAGGAACUGACGGAACUCUAUUUCGAGACUCGGAACUCCAAAUGUUGACUAAAGUCAAUCAUUUCAACUUAAAAGCUUCCAAAACUCCAAAACUUAUAAAAAUCUCAACUUUAUGAUUUGGUUUCAAAUCUAACCUCAUAAGCUUAUCAAACAUGACUCAGGGCAACUAUUGAGAGGGGUAAAACGGUAAUUUUUCCAAAAAAAUGAAUCCAAAUAUGACCUUCAGGGUCAUUACACACUUUGUUCCCGAGAAGAUAGAGAACAUGAUUUCUACUGGUUAUGUAAAGACGAGAGAAAACAGGUAAUAUAUUAAAGAAGGCUUUAAAUGGUACUCGUGUGGAGUAUCUUUGUAACAUGUUGGACAUGAUUAAUAUCUAUACUCCAACUUAAGGGGGAGUGCUACAUAAUGAAUAUAGACGCAUCUUCAUACAAUCGUAGGUUGAGAUAUUAGGGAUUUUAUGAUUUUGUUUUCUUAGAUAGAUUUACUUGUACACCUACAAAUAGCUCACUCUUGGAAUAAUACGAUAAGGAGAUUCGUUCCAUUGUCUCUUUAUUAUACAAUAAGCCUUCUUUGACAUGCUAUCCAUUUUUUGGAUUGUAAUUAUACUUAUCAACUUUUGAAAAAGAAAAUUAUAUAAAGCAAAAAGAAAUAGAGUCAUAAGUUAAUAAAUUAACCAACAACUCCAACAUUGCGGCUUCCAUUAAGUUAAUAAAUUAACCAACAACUCAUAACACUAUGAUAUUCAUUAGUAAAAGAUUAAUCUUCUUAUGUAGUUAUUUGUAAAUUGUUACCUCUUACUAGAGGGGCGUACCCAUUAUCCACCGAGUUUAGAAGGUUGUGAUUGGUCCAAAGGGCGGGUCACAUGCAAAUUUCUCGGUUAUCAAAAAAAAAAAUUGUUACCCUUUACAUGUUUUAACUAAUAAAUAAAUGUCAUACCCCAUGAACAUGAAGAGGACAAUAUUGUUAUCAAUCUGACUUAAGUAACUAAAAAAACAGAUUUGAAGACGAAAAUAUUGAGUUUGAUUAACAAAGACUCAGCUAAAAAUAAGACAUAUCAAGAUGUUUCCGAUAAAAGGUGUUGUGAAACCUCUCUGUAUUUAGCAUUCUUGACGAAGAAUAUGUGACAUUUGACUCUAAUCUUUUUACUUGCAAUUUUCUUAACUCAUUGUUUUUUUUUAUAUCAGUGAAGGGUGAUUUAGAAAGACUAAGUACAUAGAUUGCACAGGAACUAUUGAGACAAGCCCCGUGUGUUGGACGUUUGAUGCCUCUCAGGUAUACAUGCUGACACUUGAGGUGUAAGUCUCGCUGAGGCAACAACCUCUACAUCUGUCCCAAAGUACCUCAUCUCGAGUCCCUAACGAGUCUCAAGUUUGCCUUCCAUGUGUGAUCCUCUGUAAGUUUUUGAACUUCUUGUUCAGUUUUUGUACUAGUGAACAUAUAGAUUCUUGUUCUGCAAAUAAUCAUUCUUUUACUUUCCCAAUGGGAUGGAAGUUGUGGCAUUCCUCUUCUAAUCUUCUCAUUUUCUUUUUUUAUGUUUCUAAUGAUUUGUUCAAUCAUUAGAAUAAGUUUUAAGAAAAAAAGUUGUGGAAAAAUGCUUCCCACUAAGUAUUCAUGACCUAGUCUUUAUUUGGACUUUGCUAUGAUAUUAGUGGCUAACCAUGAAGGAUGCUACUUUGCUACUAUAAAAACUAGACAUCUCAACUCAACUAUGCAACACAAGUCUUAGUUUUAUCCUUCUUUUUACAAUCAAAAUGAGAAGCUUUGGGAAUUUGGGGCAAUUGCCUCUACUAGCAUUUGCUUUGGCAAUUUGCUUUGUAGCCAGCACUGUUGUUGCUGAUUACUCUUAUGGCUAUACUUCUCCUUCAACUUCUUACACCUCUAAGAAGUACUACAAAUCACCAUCUCCAUCUCCAUACUACAAGAAACCGGAGAAACAUGCUGAACAUUCUCCGUCACACUAUUACAAGUCCCCUACUCCUUCAAAGCACUACUACAAAUCACCGGUAGUAGUAAAGUAUUACAAAUCACCGGCUCCUUCAAAGAAAUACUACAAGUCGCCUUCCCCUUCAAAGUACUAUUACAAGUCGCAUGCCCCUUCUAAGAAGUACUACAAGUCACCAUCCCCUUCAAAGAAGUACUACAAAUCUCCAUCGCCUGCAAAAUACUACAAGUCGCCUGCUCCAUCAAACAACUAUUACUACAAGUCACCAUCCCCUGUAAAGUACUACAAAUCUCCUUCGCCUGCAAAAUACUACAAGUCGCCUGCUCCAUCAAACAACUAUUACUACAAGUCACCAUCCCCUGUAAAGUACUACAAAUCUCCAUCGCCUGCAAAAUACUACAAGUCGCCUGCUCCAUCAAAGAACUAUUACUACAAGUCACCAUCCCCUGUAAAGUACUACAAAUCUCCAUCGCCUGCAAAAUACUACAAGUCGCCUGCUCCAUCAAAGAACUAUUACUACAAGUCACCAUCCCCUGUAAAGUACUACAAAUCUCCAUCGCCAGCAAAAUACUACAAGUCACCUGCUCCAUCAAAGCAUUAUUACUAUAAGUCACCAUCCCCAUCACAAUAUUACAAAUCACCCGCUCCUUCUAAGUACUAUAAAUCGCCACCACCACCAACAUAUUACAAGUCACCAGUUUAUUACAAGUCCCCUCCCCCUCCACCAUACUACAAAGAAUCUACCCCUUACUACAAGUCUCCUCCUCCUCCUCCAUACUACAAAGAAUCUACCCCUUACUAUAAGUCCCCUCCACCACCCCCAUACUACAAAGAAUCUACCCCUUACUACAAGUCCCCUCCACCUCCCCCAUACUACAAAGAAUCUCCCCCUUACUACAAGUCCCCUCCACCUCCCCCAUACUACAAAGAAUCUCCCCCUUACUACAAGUCCCCUCCAAAUCACCUCCACCUCCCCCAUACUACAAGGAAUCUACACCUUCAUAUAAAUCUCCUCCACCUCCACCAUACUACAAAGAAUCUACACCUUACUACAAGUCCCCUCCCCCUCCCCCGUACUACAAAGAAUCAACCUCUUCCUACAAAUCCCCACCACCUCCCCCAUACUACAAAGAAUCUACGCCUUCC